CGGAGUGGACGCAUCACUGGUGUUCGGGUUGUCAUGCCAAUGGCACUGCCCGGUAGCUAAAUGCGGAAGAGAUAAGUGCUGAAAGCAUCUAAGCACGAAACUUGCCCCGAGAUGAGUUCUCCCUGACCCUUUAAGGGUCCUGAAGGAACGUUGAAGACGACGACGUUGAUAGGCCGGGUGUGUAAGCGCAGCGAUGCGUUGAGCUAACCGGUACUAAUGAACCGUGAGGCUUAACCUUACAACGCCGAAGGUGUUU
rnacentral:rRNA from 1 species